AACUGUUACCCAGGUGAGGAACCGCGGGCUCCCGGUCACCGAGGUAGUGAGCGACUCCAGGGGAAAGGAAACCUCAAGCCUUCUGAUCUCAGAGCACUUGGAAAUUGAAGCCAUGUGGGACUUAACAAGAGAUCAAAUAUGCCUUCGACGUCCCAGGGCAGCUGCCCUGUCCCCAGAGCCUGGGGCGGCCCCUGUGAUGGGGCCUGCCCGGCCUGGUGCUCUGGGCCCUGCUCCGCCCAGCCUGCUGCAGAUUCCAACAUGUCAUCUGGAGGACAUGGUUCUGAAUUAGCGGCUCAUUGCAAGACCACCAGUCUAGGACCACCAGUACAAUUUUGAAUAGAAGUAGUAGAAGAGGACAUCCUUGCCAUGUUUCCAAACUUACUGGUAAAGUGUUCGAUAUUUCAUCAUCAAGAACACCCUUUAUCAGAUUGACGAAGUUCCUUUCUGUUCCUAGAUUGCUGAGAGUUUUUAUCAUAAAUGCAUGUUAAAUUUUAUCAACUGCUUUCUCUGCAUCUAUCCAAAUGAUCGUAUGGUUUUCUCCCGUCUUGUUCAUGUGGUGAAUUACAUUGAUUUUUAAAUAUUAAGUCAACCUUGCAUUCCUGGGAUAAACCUUCAGUCAUGAUGUAUUAUUCGUUUUUAUAUAUUGUUGGGCUUAAUCUGCUAAUAUUUUUAAAGAAUUUUUACGUCUAUGUUCAUGAGGGAUAUUGGCCUCUUUUUGUGUAUAUGUGUUUGUCGGGUUUUGGUAUUCGUGUUUUGCUGGUACCAUAGGUCAAGUUGGGAGGUAUGCCACAUCCUCCUCUAUUUUUUGAAAGAGUUUGUGCAAGUUUGGUAUUUCUGCUUUGAAUGUUUGAUAGAAUUUAUCAGUGAAAUUACCUGU